UUUAUACUCCCUCCGUCUAACAAAAGAUGUCUCAAGUUUGUUAAUAUUUGGAUGUAUCUAUACAUGACUUAGUGUAUAGAUACAUUCAAAAAUUUAGUCAAAAUUGAGACAUCCUUUGUUGGACGGAGGAAGAACAAA
rfam:Brachypodium distachyon strain Bd21 chromosome 4, whole genome shotgun sequence.